UCCGAUUGAUCCUGUCGGACCUCACUGCUGUCAGGAUGGGUCUUACCAAUGCUAGUCGUGCGACUUGGGGUUAACAAGCACGCGGCGAACAGCUCAGUAACAUGUGGUUAACCUGCCCAAAGGACGAGGAUAACUGCGGGAAACUGCACUAAUACUCGGCAAGCGUGAUGAUGUGGAAUUUCAUCUCGUUGAAAGGUCAUUGACGUACUCGUUAAUGAUGCCUUCGGAUGGGACCGCAUCCGAUCAGGUAGUUGGUGGGGCAAUGGCCCACCAAGCCUAAGACCGGUACGGGCCCUGAGAGGGGGAGCCCGGAGAUGGGGACUGAGACAAGGCCCUAGGCCCUACGGGGCGCAGCAUGGUCGAAAAUUCUGCAAUGCGCGAAAGCGUGACAGAGUCAUCCUGAGUGCUACCUGUUGAAGGUGGCUUUUACUCAGUGCAAAAAGCUGAGGGAAUAAGGGGGGGGCAAGUCGGGUGUCAGCCGCCGCGGUAAUACCCGCUCCCCGAGUGGUGAGGGCGAUUAUUGGGCUUAAAGCGUCCGUAGCCGUCUCCGUGUGUUUCAUGUUAAAUCCGAAGGCUCAACCUUCGGGCCGCAUGAAAUACUGCGGAGAUUGGAGGCGGGAGAGGUUAUCGGUAUUCCUUGGGUAGGGGCAAAAUCCACUGAUCCUUGGAAGACCACCAGUGGCGAAGGCGGAUAGCCAAAACGCGCUCGACGGUGAGGGACGAAAGCUGGGGGAGCGAACCGGAUUAGAUACCCGGGUAGUCCCAGCUGUAAACGAUGCGGGCUAGGCGUCGGGGUAGGCAUGUCCUUCCCCGGUGCCGCAGGGAAACCAUUAAGCCCGCCGCCUGGGGAGUACGGUCGCAAGACUGAAACUUAAAGGAAUUGGCGGGGGAGCACUACCAGGCGUGAAUGCUGCGGCUUAAUUGGAGGCAACGCCGGAAAUCUUACCAGGGGAGACAGUUGUAUGAAGGCCAGGCUGACGACCUUGCCAGACUAGCUGAGAGGAGGCGCAUGGCCGUCGCCAGCUCGUGCCGUGAGGUGUCCUGUUAAGUCAGGUAACGAGCGAGACCCCUACCUCCAGUUGCUAUGAUGCCCUUAAACGGACAUCAGCACCCUGAAGGGACAGCUACCGAUAAGGUAGAGGAAGGAGGGGGCAACGGCAGGUCAGUAUGCCCCGAACCCCUGGGCCGCACGCGGCAGAUAAUGGUAGGGACAGAGGGUCCCAACUCCGAAAGGAGGAGGUAAUCCAUAAACCCUAUCUCGGUUGGGAUCGAGGGUUGUAACUCACCCUCGUGAACAUGGAAUGCCUAGUAACCGCGCGUCAUCAUCACGCGGUGAAUACGUCCAUGCUCCUUGCACACACCGCCCGUCGCUCCAUUCGAGUGAGGCUUGGGUCAGGCUUGCUCCGCGUGGGCGAGACGAGCCCAAGCUUUGCAAGAGGGGAGAAGGCGUAACAAGGUU
rnacentral:rRNA from 1 species